rnacentral:rRNA from 1 species
UUUGUAGGCGGCUCUAUAAGUCGGGUGUGAAAUCCCACGGCUCAACCGUGGAAGUGCAUUCGAAACUGCAGAGCUUGAAUAUGGAAGAGGAGAGUAGAAUUGCUGGUGUAGUGGUGAAAUACGUAGAUAUCAGCAGGAAUACCGGUGGCGAAGGCGGCUCUCUGGUCCAAUAUUGACGCUGAGAAACGAAAGUGCGGGGAUCAAACA